rnacentral:lncRNA from 1 species
UUUAAAAGCACGAGUCCAGGGGCACGUUCAGAAUCUCUGGGGUUGAGACUUCUCCAAAAACUUCUGCAGGAUCCUGGUGGGAAGCUCUCUCCUCUCUCUGCGUCAGCUUCCUGGGGGACCCACCGUUCCUUCCAGCCCAGAGCGGCAUCACUGUCUACACAUCACAAGCCUGGGUUGGUGUCGAGUGUCUCUGACUUUGGAGUCUCGAGCCC